AUACUCUGGUUUCCCUUCAGAUCAUAUAAAUCUUUUGCCUUUUACUAAAGAUUUCUGUGGACAGAGACAGACAGUGGUUGGGCCCAUUCUC
ensembl:snRNA U5 U5 spliceosomal RNA